UUAGCAGCCUUUAUUCUAGUCACAAAUAAUUUGCUUCAUUUCAUAAACAGACCCAUUGGUUAACUCUGAUUUAUUGAUGAAUUGGAUUGUUGACUUGCCAUUCUUGUUUGCUGGUUUCUGUUAAAGAUGUUGAAGAAUGAAAUGUGUGAUGGACCAGUCAGAACUUCUCUCCUCUUUUUAAUUCCCAAACAAAAUAAAAUCCCACUCAAAGAAAAGUGGUUUAUUCUCCCUUUCCUCUGCUAUUCCACUGUCUGUCUGCUUCCUCUCCAUCCAUUUUUCCCUUUUACCAAUUUACUACGUUCAUUCAUUUACCCGUGCAUUCAGCUGAGCAGUUAGGCUAGUCUGAGUACACAAGCCAGCCAUUGGUGUCCAUGCGCAAACAAACAACCUCCAUCUUCAUUUAGUUUGGAUAAGAAUUCUCUAAGCAUUUUACUCAAAGGAAGUAGGUAUUUUUCAUGCAGGGAAAAUGAUUAAUUUCAAUAUUCACAGCGGAUGAGAACUCUUGUAUUACCCUGGGCUUGGCCAAGAUGCUGCGUGUGGUUUCUUCCAUCCGGGAAGGCUUGUGAUUCCUGUUGUGUUUUAUCCCCUGAACUCCCCGGUGGUGGUCCCAUUAGAGUGCGAGUCUCAUGGGCUCCCUGUCUUCGCCCUAGCACUCACCGCGUUGCUUGAAAGCAGGCUGUGUAGGAAUCAAGAGGAAACGCCAUAUGGACUCUGGCAGGGGAGAGGAGGCAGGGCGGAGGAGGCAGGGUGUACCACAAUGCCUCCUGUGCCACCUGCAGAGCGUGGUACCCCGCCUCCCUAGAGAGUCAGUGGGGCCUCGCUCGGAACCGAAGGAAAUGAUGGAAAAUUAAAGACAGGACAAAAAGGGACAGGCGUAAAACGGAAUGCAAGGCGGUUUUCUGAUGGGAGCUCUGGCAGAGCAAAGCGGAGGUUUCCCUUGGCGUCAACUCGAUUUGCUGCCCGAGCACAUCCCCUGCAUGCUUACCACAUGUGUCUGUGUCCAGGGGACUGUGAGCAAACUCCAUGCUGCCCGGGUUUAUGGCAUGAACUCCCUGCCUGUAUUCUGGCUCUGUGUGGGUUUCUGGGGAACAGCCGCUGGCACCUACGGGAUGCAGGGGACCCCAGUCUGCAAGGUUCUCAUCCUGCAGCCUCACACUCCUCGACUGCAGUUGCCAUUUGCCGCAGGAAAAUGAAGGGGUGGGGGCUGGUCCCUCCUGAGUCCCUGUGAUGAACAUUGAGAAUAAUAAGUUCUGACUGCAAUAACCCUUCCGAAAAUGAAGCAAUUCUCCGUGGAGCCCGCCCUCCUUUUGAUUCUGCCUACAAAUUAAGUAUAAAUUGGAAUCUCUGAUCGUUCCUUCCUGGUCCAGGCUAAGCAGCAAAGCUGCACGGAGCAGGGAGAAUUGGCAGUGGAGUGCCUGUCAAAGGCCUGUUUACGGUUGGGACCUGCCUGCCGUGGAGAGUGGGGUAAUCUCUUCUUCAGCUUCUGGUUUCCGGGAGGAAAAAUGAGAAAACAAGGGUUCUAAAUUUCUGGAGGAGAAGCUCUCAGUCUGUAGUUUGAGUCUCCACUGCAUCUGUUAGCCUCAUGCACGGCAGAGAGCAUGUGCCAUCUAAAUUUGUAUUGAGAGAAUAAAAAACAAUUGCUGCUGUAGCCGGGCGGUGGUGGUGCACACCUUUAAUCCCAGCACUCGGGAGGCAGAGGCAGGUGGAUCUCUGUGAGUUCGAGGCCAGCCUGGUCUGCAGAGUGAGAUCCAGGAAAGGCGCAAAGCUACACAGAGAAACCCUGUCUUGAAAAACAAAACCAAAAAAAAAUUGCUGCCAUCUUGUCUCAACUUGAUUCUUCUAGCCUUUGACGCCCCCCAUCAUCGAUAGCCCUAACAGGCUCAACAGCAAUGCAAAGAACUCCAAAAGAAGACAGAAAGAGACUGGCCACUCUCAUCAAUGUCAUGCCCAUCUUGUUAUCCAGCAUCCUUGAAUUCGCCCCUUAUCUCCUGGCUGGAUCUCUCUGCUUCCUUUGGGAAAUGUCUCCUUCGAGACUGGAGAGCUGACCCAGUCACGAAGGAACUGGAAAAGCCGGAACGGAAGAGAGAAGAGUAAGGAGCAGUUCAUACAAGCAGCAACACUGGGAUUUAGACUUUCACCCUGCUAAUGUUUGGUUAUGAAAGUCAUUGCUUUUGAGAGGUAUUUUCUGAUAAGGAUAAAGCUAGGGCUCAAAGGGCUGGGGAAGUCUUCUUGCAGCUCCCCAUGGUAGAGAUGUAGUCCUCAAACCGAUGUACAGAUGGGCCCAGCCCUCAUGACCAGACUCAUGUCAUUAUGAGAGCAGGUGGUCAAUUUCUUAUUGUGGGAGAGGGUUCCUGCAAAAUAAUGAGUUCAUGUGGGUGUGCUAGUACAUGUUUAUAUGUAGUAGACAUGUACUAGUACAUGUCUAUAUUCAUGGUACUUGGGUGGCAGAGGCAGGAGGGUAUCACAAGUUUUCAACCGACCAGACCUGAGUUCCUGACCAUCCAGGCUACAUCUCAAGACCCUUUUUCAAGAAACAAACACUGUCCAACCAACCAACCAAUCAAAGGCGGCUGACCACUGUUUCCUCUUGUGUCUUUCCGCCUCUUGUCAUAGGGAUGGUGUACCCAAAAAGUCCUUGACAGGUGCGGGACUGGACCUGGACUCCUCGGUGUCCAGAGCUGUAGGAAAUACGUGCCCUUCUUCAUAAAUUGCCCAAGCUCAGAUAUUUUGUUACAGCAGCCAAAAUGGGCUAAUGUUACCUAACAAACAACAGGAAUUUUCUCUCCCAACAUGUCAGUCUAAAAUUUUGCUCAUUACACAAUGCAGGAACAAUAAGAGAAAAGUUGCUAGAAUCCGGCUAAGAGGGAUCUUGGAGAACUUAAAUGUAACUUCUUGCUUUGUCUGUAAGAGCUAUUUUUGGAGUUAUUUUACUUAGCUCAUAACUACCACCCCCCACUGUUCGUAGUCUGAUGCAAGAGGAAUCGUGGCGUGCACACUGCAUGGAGUCAAGCAGCCCUGCAUGGAUGGUAGUGUGACCUGUGGCAGCCACGUCUCCUCACAGAAAAUGUGGGGACUACCAUCUUCCUGGAAAGGUUGUGUUUUCAGGUCAUUCCAUGCUGUAGGUGGCUGCCCCUGUGCGGGAGACUGUGGUGAAUCAGCUUCGUUUGGAUCCAAGACUCUGUGCCCACACUUGCUGCUCAGGCUUGUCCUUCUUCUAGCUUCCUAUAAUUCCCAUGGACACUGUGGUGGCUCAUCCUUUUGGAACAGAAGGACUCAUUACAGAACAAUAUUCUGGUGUGUUAUAAGGCUCUUUUAGGCCCAGGGAAGCCUUGCUUGAAGAUGGAAUUUUCAGAUGUACAAGAGAACUCAUACAAGAAUGAAAUACUCAGAUUUCUCUCCCAGAUGGUUAUCUCUGUUGGGAGCCAGCUUCCUUUGUCCGAAAUGUUGCCAGGGCUGGUGGAGUUUAGCCUUCAGGAGAGUCUUCAGCUUCUUGACACGCACCAUUCCCUCAUUCCUUCUUUCAUGCACGCACACAAGCAUCCAUUUUGAGACAAGGUCUCACAUGUACCAGGCUGGUCUUGAACUUGCUGUAGAGUUAAUGACAUUGAACUUUUGAUCCUCCUGCCUCCCAGGUGCUUGGAUUUCAGGCAUGCACUACUACACCCAGUUUUGUGCAGUGCUGAGGAAGACACCCUGCACACUACCAGCCUAGCCUCACUCACAGCCCUUCCCAUCACUUGUGUUGGAAACACCUUCUCCUCGGGACUGGCGCGGCAGGUGCCCAGCUAGCCGGACGCAGACAGAGCUGGGCAAUCUCUGCACCAGCGCUGGAGCCGGCGCCUCACGAGUCCUGGACAUGCGGUUUGUCAACUCUUCCUUCCUGGAAACCAGAGAAGGAAAUGGCUGCUUCUCGGCAAAGGAAGUGAUUUGCAGAGGCUUGAAGGAAGCAGUUUUAAUCUCGCCUUAAAGGAUGUGAGGAGGGGCUUCGUGGGUCCUGAAGAAGGUCUCAGGAGAAGAAACAGUAGCUGUACAGAUGAAGCAGAGAGCCAUGGUGGCCCCGGAAGUCACGGAAGAUCAUCUAAAGGACAAGACACAGAGAAGGGAACAUAGAAACAUAGCAUGUAUUGAAUGACACGGUGGCCAUUCUCUAAGAUGCUCCCCAGUGACCUCUGCCUCUUGCUUUUCAUACCCAGUGUAAGGGACCCAGACUCACUAACAAUCACAUGAGUGAGCAGGGCUGUAUCGUUCCCCCAUCCCAGCCAAGCCUUCAGAUGAGACUGCAUAGCCAACUGCUUGGUGGCUGUCUCACAAAGGACAUUGCCUUAUGGUUUUAAGCCACUAAAUUUGGGGAUAACCUGUUACACUAUGAUAAGUAACUAAUACGGACAUUUACUCCAAUAUGUCAGGCAUUAAGGUAGCUGUUUCAUCUAACUAACUAAUCAACAGUGUUAGACGGUUAUUUCUAAUGAUGUGCGUGUUAGUUGUCCCCCUACAGGCCCAUAUGUUUGAACACUUCAGUUCCCAGACAACUGUUUUGGGAGAUGGUGGAAUCUUUUGGACAUGUGACCUUGUUGGCAGACAUAGGGCUGCAAGGCCAUAAGGGGGACUUCCAGGUCAUACCCCACCUAGGUCUUCCCAUGUCUCUUGGCUUCCUGUUUGGUACCAUGAAACAAAGGCUACCACAGAGAACCCCCCAGCACACCUUUCCCAUUGCGAAGGUCUUGAGUCUUCUUAAACCACGAGGUAAAAUGAGGCCCUCCUUGUAUCACUGUGCACCAGGUCACAGUGAUAGGAAAAGGAACUAACUCAAUAUCAGUGUUCCAGUGGUUCCAAUAAAUAACGCUGAAGUUUA